GAUGCCUUCAGGAAACACAGCUCGGCGAGAUUCAUCUCAGAGCCACAGACUGCAUCGGCGCAUAACCUGCACGCUCACUGCAGACACCGCGACCAGCGCCAGCGUGGUGUUUAUCUCUGCUUUGCAGAAUGGCAGCAGUAGACUACCGCUGAACUUGGAAAUCACAGUAACUCCUCACUUGCAGAAAAUUUCUUUGACGACUACGUAGCGCGCGGGGGACGGGGGUGUCUCACAGAUUUAUUCUACUUUAAGAACUGACCUAGGAGGAGAAGAUAAGUUUUCUGAUCCUGCUUUCUUAAAUAAAUGUGGCCUGCAUUACCGUUUCCUGGUAAUUUUUAGGAUGCUAUAAUUGAUCAAUCCAUCUGUCAUAGAGGAAUUUUGUUAGCUUCAGAAUCCACUCUUUUUAAAACCUGCUGGAUAGUGUGAUUUUAUUCAGGAACUUCUUUCUUUUGUCCCCUCCCUGUGUCUCCUAACUCUGCGCCAGAGCCGGUGCUGGGGGCGGGUACGUCCCCCCUUUAACUUGUUUUGUUUUUCUUUUUUGAGAAAUCCUAUUUUCCCACAUUUGCCUAGUUACAGACGAGACCUGCGAACUGACUUCAAACUGAUUUUAUUUCCCCUAGAAAGAUAAAAUGUGGAGUCUAGUUUACAUGUGCUGGGCGCAGGAGGCGCAAGCAAAGGCCACCAGCUUUGGGCAGGAAACGUGGGGCGCCUUUAAGAGGAACCCGCGGUAAUUUUCCACUGCCCGCCUCAGCCGGGCCGACGCGGCAGGGGGCGGGGGCGGAGUGCGACUGCGCAGCUUGGCCCGCGCCUCCGUUGCCUGGAUACCACCGCCCCCGCCCUCCCUGCCUGGAGUCCUUCUGUUUCUAAGAUGGCGUCGGUACUCUAUUUUUAGGGCGCCAGGAACAAAGCGCGUCGCGCACCCUUGAGCUUAGCAGAAAGCAGUUGUGUGGCUGGCUUUAAGUGUGUUCACUGUCAGUAUUUACUCAUCUUACAGCCUUACAAAGGUCCAUUCAGCGAGAUGUUCUGGAGAGCACUCGGGAGGGCCGCAGCUGGCAGAGCCGAGGUCUCCUACCUCCGCUCAGGGCUGCAGGGUGGGUGCUAAUUUCGUGGUCCUUCGUAUUUGCUGCAUUUUGGUUGGCUGCGCGCACAAUACUGAGACUCCUGCAGCCGCCACAGGAGUCUCAGUUCCCACGGGCGCCCUCCGUCCUUCACAGCACGCGCACAGCGGAGGCUCCGCGCGCCGGGAACCGAGCCUCCGGGAGCCUCACCCGCGGCACCUGCGUCUGACGACGCUGUCUGCUGCGAGAAAGCGGAACUGUCUUUCAGGACUGACAUUCGAGAGAAGGUUGUCAGGCCCACUGCUCCCACCGUGCGAGUGCCGAGAUGAGUGAAUAAACACGCGCUUUCCCCCUGAAACACCCCGAGAUCGGUAAAUACCGGCGCGCUCGCCCCGAGUACAACACUGACGUUCUGUCUCGCACGAAACGGACGGAGACUGGCAAACCACGCUGCAGACAUCAUCACGCCGUCGCUGUUCGUAAUUCCAGAGAGUUGUUGCAGAAAGCUCUCGUUUUCAAGAAAGAACGUUAAGUUCUUUUUCCUCCCCGGCUCCUGGAGCCUAGAUUUACACUGUUUGAACAAGAAUUUUGUGUGGUUUAGCAGCAUCGAGGCUCUUUCUGAACAUCGGUGUGUUCUCAGCCCCUGAGUGCCUUUGCUGCCUGCGACAUAACGGGGACCGCAGGCAAGGUGUCCCUGUGCCUCGCACACGCAGGGACAUCAGCAGAUAAAACUCAAGGCCCGUAUCCCCUUCUCCUCGCCCGGGGUCUGAAAGUCGCUCGAUUGUUUUGCCUGGCCGUGUUAGUUCUUUCCGACCCCGCAGAACUAUUAGGGCUAGGAUAGGGGUAGUUCGAUUAGGAAAAAAACCUUAGCGAUGGUCCCGGCAUACUUCGCCCUUUAUAACUAACCACCAGCUUUCGUUUCAGGGCCUGUUACAAUUGCAGGACAAACAACUUGAGUUUGCCCUCAAGGGCAAACGACUUUUAUUUAUUACACUGGUGGCCACAUUAUUCUAGGUAGUCGGGGAAAAAAAAAAAUCAGCCGUGCACACUGCCUUUACUGGCGACAGCAGGAUGCGCUUGUCACCCACUAGAAAGGACUUAGACCCUUGAGGACCGCGAUCCAAUGAACGGACCCAGUAGGAAGGCACGGAAAGCGGUGUACUAAGCGGUGUGCUAACACGGGCCCAGCAAAAGCCCGACAGUUUAAUCCGGGCCUCUGCUGGGAGCUAGAGACCCUGCUGCCCGCAGCAAGGCUGGGCUCCCCCUGCGGCUCCGCACCAUCCUCCAGACAUUUCAGCCAACGCGCCAGACUGCAAGGCCCGCACGGCUCCGAACAGCGAAGCCGGCUCUUUGGCAAACACACGUCUUGAUUGUGAAGCAAAGGCGGCUCGCGCCGAGCGCUCCCGAGCCCUGGGCACUGCCACUCCCGCAAGCGCGCUGCGUCCCUGCGUCCUGUCCGCAGGAAGCCAGCCGUGCGGGUCCCUGCGGGUCUUCCUGAGCUUCCAAAGGCGAAGGCAAAUAUUUUGAUCCCUGACUUUACUGGCAGGAUACUGACGAUCCAAGAAAUCUACGCAGCUUGCUAAAUUACAGUGCAGACUCCAAGUGAUUUUGUGAUGUUGUUUCUUUCUAGUUCAGAAUCUGCAUGGGUGUCCAUGCACGGGACAGAGGAGACCUGUACAUCAGAGGAACCCGGUCAGCGCCGAGCCAGCCGCUGGCACUGCACAGCCGAUCGAUAUCGAUUCCGAUAAAGGCCUCUGCUACCAUUUUAUUAAGCGCCCUACUUAAUCUCCAUGUCCUGCGUCCACUCUCUUAAUAUCCACCGUCCUUGUACCUUUUCAAAGUCAGAGUGACGUGGAGUCUGUUCAGGGCUCUUCCUCAGUUUUGAUGAGGGCAGCCCUCCGUGGCGCGCGGACCUCUCAGACCCGAGUUAGAACCCGAGCCUACACCGGGAUUUCCCGGUUAUCUUUUUCUCCCCAGUUUCCUUUCUGAAUAGUUUAAACAUUUAAAAAUGUAGGUCAAUCAAAAGAAACUGAAAAAAAAUAAUCAAGCGUUGCAAGCGUUUUGUGUACAACACCCUUGCAGAAGGGUAGUAAAAUGUCUUUGGAGUGCG
rnacentral:lncRNA from 1 species